GGCGCGGGUGUGCCCGUGGCCUAUUUUUGGCACACGGAGGCCGCCCGCAAAGUCUGGGGCCAUUCCGAGUCCGGCGGACGAACUUCGCCCACGCCCCCAACCAAGGCUAUAGCCCACCCGUUUUUUGGCCAUUUUUCCGCUGGGGGGUCUUGGCGCCCCGACCUUCGGGGGCUGAUUUUUGGGCGCGGGUGCGCCCGUGGCCUAUUUUUUGCACACGGAGGCCGCCCGCAAAGUCUGGCGCCAUUCCGAGUCCGGCGGACGAACUUCGCCCACGCCCCCCACCAAGGCUAUAGCCCACCCGUUUUUUGGCCAUUUUUCCGCUGGGGGGUCUUGGCUCCCCGACCUUCGGGGGCUGAUUUUUGGGCGCGGGUGUGCCCGUGGCCUAUUUUUGGCACACGGAGGCCGCCCGCAAAGUCUGGGGCCAUUCCGAGUCCGGCGGACGAACUUCGCCCACGCCCCCCACCAAGGCUAUAGCCCACCCGUUUUUUGGCCAUUUUUCCGCUGGGGGGUCUUGGCGCCCCGACCUUCGGGGGCUGAAUUUUGGGCGCGGGUGUGCCCGUGGCCUAUUUUUGGCACACUGAGGCCGCCCGCAAAGUCUGGGGCCAUUCCUAGUCCGGCGGACGAACUUCGCCCACGCCCCCCACCAAGGCUAUAGCCCACCCGUUUUUUGGCCAUUUUUCCGCUGGGGGGUCAUGGCGCCCCGACCUUCGGGGGCUGAAUUUUGGGCGCGGGUGUGCCCGUGGCCUAUUUUUGGCACACGGAGGCCGCCCGCAAAGUCUGGGGCCAUUGCGAGUCCGGCGGACGAACUUCGCCCACGCCCCCCACCAAGGCUAUAGCCCACCCGUUUUUUGGCCAUUUUUCCGCUGGGGGGUCUUGGCGCCCCGACC
rnacentral:lncRNA from 1 species